rnacentral:rRNA from 1 species
UUUAUUGGAGAGUUUGAUCCUGGCUCAGGACGAACGCUGGCGGCAUGCCUAAUACAUGCAAGUCGAGCGGAGUUGAUAGGAAGCUUGCUUCUUUGAUACUUAGCGGCGGACGGGUGAGUAACACGUAGGCAACCUGCCCUCGAGUUUGGGACAACUACCGGAAACGGUAGCUAAUACCGAAUAAUUGUUUUCUUCGCCUGAAGGGAACUGGAAAGACGGAGCAAUCUGUCACUUGGGGAUGGGCCUGCGGCGCAUUAGCUAGUUGGUGAGGUAACGGCUCACCAAGGCGACGAUGCGUAGCCGACCUGAGAGGGUGAUCGGCCACACUGGGA